UCCGACGAGGCGGAUUCGAACCACCGACCUAAGGAUCUACAGUCCUCCGCUCUACCAGCUGAGCUAUCGUCGG
rnacentral:tRNA from 11 species